ACGUUGAUAUCUCAAAUAUUCCACAGCACAGGCAAGGCAGGAAUAAAUGGUACAGCCGGGGGGGGGGGGGGUGGCGGUGGGCGAGCAAACAAGACCAACGACCGGAGCCUGGGAAUCGCGGCGGCCGGAGAGCGCGGGGGCCGGCGAGGCAAGUAGGCAACCAUGGAGGACGGCGAGGCGUUGGGCGCGCGUGUGGCGACCGUGGCGGUCUGGCCGGUGACUGGGUCUCGGACUCUCAAUGGUUAUUUGGAUAUGAGGAGCGAUGUGUACGUGCGUGGUUCGUGUAGCCCACAGACCUGUGUUUGCUUCUAGUCUCACACGGCAUUUCUCCAGGAAACUGGCUCGCACGUCUCGAUCGUCGACGGUAACUGUUGAUGGGCGGGCGGUAAGUCGAUUGGCCAAGCUAGGCGAGCAUGCGUUCAUACGUGCAAAUUGCAAGGAAUAUGGGCCUUGAAAAAAAUGCACGUUAAUUGGUACCGACUGCAAUCUAUAAAAGGGAGACGCCAUCAGAACCAUGGAUACGUCCACGCAUCUGACAGCACUUUACUGGUGGAUCGAGUUGAGAAGCGAACGGGCUGAGAGUACAGAGCUACUGAAAUGAAGGCGGCGCCUGCCUCCUCCUUGGUUGCGAGCUCGGCGAUCCUCGCAGCCGCACUCUUCCUUUUCGCCAUGCACCUUGAGCCUGUGCAAGCAGGGUCGAGGCCGCCGCUCGUGCCUCCAACUCCACACCCAAACCCUCAACCGCGUGGAGGCCCUCUUUCUCCUCCGGCCGCGGCCGCAGACGGCGGUGCACGGCGGCGCUUGCUAGCUAUAUAGCUAGCUGGUACCGUCCAUGCCCCGGCACACGCAAGCAUGCGCAUCGAUCGACCGGUGUUAAUCCAGCAGCACUGCAUGCCACAAUCUGGCACUACACACAAUCAUGUCUGUUUUAAUUUUGUGGAUACAGUCGUACCGGCAGUGUAGCAGUGGGUACAGUUGGUUGAUUUCCCUACGUUUUUUCUUGUUGAAAUUGUUCUUAACAUAAAAUUCGAAACAACCAUGGAAAGACAGCUCCUCAGCUUCAAACCUGGAAGGAGAUUAAAUAAAAUACUGAAGAAACUACAUUCAAACAAGCUAAGCUCCAGAAGCUAAAACUGAAGGUUGAAAGGCAGCUCCUCAGUGUUCCUGAACGAGGCCUUUGUUUGCUUGGAUGUCUUCAGCCCACAGGCGCUAGUUCAGCGCUUCUCAUCAUGAGAUGAGAUGUGAUCAUCAGCCCCGAAAAUAGGUCUUUUUUUAUUAUUGUUGUUGAGCAUCUGGGCAACUCCCACGCGGCCGGCUAUCUCCGAGAAACUGACAUGGGUCUCACGUUUCGAUCGUUGACGGUUGUUAUCACCGGCCGGGCGGUCAAGUUAGACUGGACGGUAGUUUGAACGGUUUCGACCUGCAAUCAGAUAUAGGCCGGGCGGCCAUGGUUGCACUGCACACUGGACUAACAAGAUGGGCCAUGAAAACACGUUAAUCAGUACAGUACCACCUGCGAACUAUAGAUGUACAUUUUCGUUUGCUUGGCACUGUCUUUUACUAUAGCAAAUUUGAUAUAGUAUUUUUUUAAAAGAUUUAUAGAUACUUCAAAAUAUACAAUACUAGUAAAGUUUGUUUCAUGAUAAAUCUAAUAAUAUAGAAGUUUUAAGUAUUUAUAAAUCUUUUGUAAAAAACAUACGGUCAAAUUUGCAGAGUAAAAUGCAUGCAGAUCGAACCACGUAUGCAUCCACGAACGUACCUGAUUGAUUGAGCUGUGAUUUGUGUAAUGCAAGAGCCGAGACAGACGACAAAGGAGCAAAAAAUGAAGGCACCUCGUCUUGGUUGUGUGCUUGGCAUCCUUGCAGCCAAAGGUGGAUCUUCUAGGGGCGCGGGGGGCUUGAGCCCCCUACUAUGUCAACGCACCUGGGAGCCCUACCACCCCACUCCGAGCCUCUCAUGAAAAAUUUGGUAGGUUAUUUAAGAGAUGGGUGGCGUAGGCGGGUGAUGCGGGUAAAUCAUCCCCUAAAUUUUUGUGCUAGAUCUGUCACUAGUCACACUGAUUAUUUUCACUGUGCACGUUGAGCCUCGUACAAAUAGGAUAAAUAUUUUGUUCUAUACAUUUUCAUCGCACUAAUGCUAACUUUUCCACUAGUUUUGGUGUGUGUCAACUUAUUUUACAGAAAAAAACAAAAAGAUUAAUAAAUAGGCGUCAUGGAAGAAACAGGCAAAAAGAUUUCUCACGGAAGUUUUGCCUGCCAGACAAGCCUCAUCAAGUUCGAUCAUUGUUCGGCUAGAGAAAUAUGUGACCCAACAAAUAGCCGAGUUCAGCAGGCAGUUUUCAGCUAUUUGGCCGGAGAAAUCCGCAACCGAACGACUGGACGAGUUUGACAGCAUUUUUCAGCAAUUUGUCCGAAGAAAUCAGUGAUCGAACAACUGGACGAAAUACACGGCUAAAAGGUUGAACGAGUUCAACCGUUCGAAUGGGAAAAUCCGUCACUACUACUUUUCAUGCAAUAAGUAGCGUCUUAUCAGUGUCGGUUGUGCUGGAAUCGAAAUUAAAAAGGUAUCGGUGCUGAUUCUUAAUCUCCUGUGCACGAAUAAUGAUUAAAUUGCUAAGAAUCAGCAUUGAAACCAACUAUCAGUGUCAGUUCAUGGUUGGAACCGGCACUGAUACACAUCAAUGCUGGUUCCAACCAUAAACCGGCACUGAUAGUUGAUUUUCAGUGUCGGUUCCAGAACAAACCGACAAUGAAGGCAACCGGACUCAAUUUUUUUCAUCGAUCUAAUUUAGGCUUAGGCUCAAGUCCGGCACUCUGGCUCCACUUGGUCUUAUCUCUUCCCCCACAUAAGUCCAACCUUAUCUCUUCCCCUGCCUCCUCCCCACUGCCAGUCCAACCUGGGCGGCAGCCUCCUCCCCAUCGCCCCUCCCUACCGGCCAUUGCCCCUCCCUAGCCCGCCAUCUCUCGCUCAUCCGAUCUCUCUCCUCUCACGUGCCUGCUCUACAGGCGCAAAUGCGGUCGCCUGGUCGUGUGGGUCUGGGAGCUCGAGGCCUCGCUGGUGGCUGCCGCGGAGAAAGCCACCGUCGAGCGUCACGGAAGGGUCCACGCUUAGCAGUCGUUGAGGAGGGCACUGAGCAAGCAGGAGACCUGCUUCGACGAGGCCCAUGUGAGGUUCCAGCGUGUUGCCAUGCAUCCCCCUCUCCUCGUAGAUCUGAGCUAUUGGUAUUGGUGGCAUCGUAACCAGUAUGAUUGAUUGUGAGAUGUGUUUGUAUGAUCAGUGUUGAUUGUGAGAUGUGUUUGUAUGAUCGAUUUGAUUAUGAGAUGUGUUUGUAUGAU